ACCCUGGUGGCUCAAACGGUAAAGAAUCUGCCUGUGAUGCAGGAGACCCCAGGUUCAAUCCCUGGGUUGGGAA
rfam:TPA: Bos taurus chromosome 15, whole genome shotgun sequence.